rnacentral:lncRNA from 1 species
AGCCUAAAGAGGAGAGCCGAAGAGAGUAGAGCUAACAGAGUACAACCGAAAGAGCUGCCUCUUGAACUCCGACCUCCAAAAGAAGGACGCAUCCUCCUCUUGUAUAACUCUUAAAUUGCUAAACUAUAAUUGCUGCUUGCUAAAUAUUGAAUGAAAAAUAGCAGAAUUGCUAGAAGAGAGAAUAAAUAGAAGUAAAGAGAUA